AUGCUCCUAGCCAACGUCGUGGAAAUGGCCGAACGACACGCCUAGAGUUUCCUAGGAAAUUUGGGCAGAGUUGCUUGUAUUGUGAGUAUCUGUAUGCCUGUAGGGUGUGCGUAUAACUGAAUAUCGGGAAGAACACCAAUGGCGAAGGCAGGUCUCUGGGCCGUUACUGACGCUGAGGAGCGAAAGCGUGGGGAGCGAACAGGAUUAGAUACCCUGGUAGUCCACGCCGUAAACGGUGGAUGCUGGAUGUGGGGCCCGUUCCACGGGUUCCGUGUCGGAGCUAACGCGUUAAGCAUCCCGCCUGGGGAGUACGGCCGCAAGGCUAAAACUCAAAGAAAUUGACGGGGGCCCGCACAAGCGGCGGAGCAUGCGGAUUAAUUCGAUGCAACGCGAAGAACCUUACCUGGGCUUGACAUGUUCCCGGCGGUCGUAGAGAUGCGGCUUCCCUUCGGGGCGGGUUCACAGGUGGUGCAUGGUCGUCGUCAGCUCGUGUCGUGAGAUGUUGGGUUAAGUCCCGCAACGAGCGCAACCCUCGCCCCGUGUUGCCAGCGGAUUAUGCCGGGAACUCACGGGGGACCGCCGGGGUUAACUCGGAGGAAGGUGGGGAUGACGUCAGAUCAUCAUGCCCCUUACGUCCAGGGCUUCACGCAUGCUACAAUGGCCGGUACAACGGGAUGCGACGCGGCGACGCGGAGCGGAUCCCUGAAAACUGGUCUCAGUUCGGAUCGCAGUCUGCAACUCGACUGCGUGAAGGCGAUGCCGCUCCGGCCGCUGUGAUCGAGCUCGUCACCGAGCCGGUUGCCAAGAAGGCUGUUGUGAAGGAAGCUGAAGCCGCCGCCAAGGUUGCCGAAGAAGAAGCUCCGGCCGUUGAGGCUGAG
rnacentral:rRNA from 1 species